rnacentral:rRNA from 1 species
UACGGAGGGUGCAAGCGUUAUCCGGAUUCACUGGGUUUAAAGGGUGUGUAGGCGGGUAUUUAAGUCCGUGGUGAAAUCUCCGGGCUCAACCCGGAAACUGCCAUUGAUACUAUUUAUCUUGAAUCUUGUUGAGGUAGGCGGAAUAUAUCAUGUAGCGGUGAAAUGCUUAGAUAUGAUAUAGAACACCGAUUGCGAAGGCAGCUUACUAAACAGGCAUUGACGCUGAGGCACGAAAGCGUGGGGAUCAAACAGG